rnacentral:tRNA from 1 species
CGGGAUGUAGCGCAGUUUGGUAGCGCACAUGUAUGGGGUGCAUGGGGCCGAAGGUUCAAAUCCUUUCAUCCCGACCA